AUUAGGUUUUGUUUAGAAUUUUAUUAAGAUUUAGUUAGGAUUUAUUUAGGAUUUGAUUAAGAUUUCGUUAAGAUUUGUGUAAGGUUUGAUUAGAGUUUGGUUAGGAUUUUAUUAGGAUUUAAUUAGGAUUUAUUUAGGAUUUGACUAAGAUUUGGUUAAGAUUUGUUUAAAGUUUGAUUAGAAUUUGAUUAGAAUUUGGUUAGGAUUUGACUAGGAUUUAGUUAAGAUUUAGUUAAAAUUUGAUUAGGAUUUAAUUAGGAUUUAAUUAAGAUUUUUAUUUUAAUAUUUUAUUAAUAUUUCUAUUUUAGUAUAUUUUUGAAUUUCUAUGUUAUUUUUUUAUGAUUUCUUUAAAGGAUCU
rnacentral:lncRNA from 1 species